GCCCAGACUCCUACGGGAGGCAGCAGUGGGGGAUAUUGCACAAUGGGGGGAACCCUGAUGCAGCGACGCCGCGUGGGUGAAGGAGUAUUUCGGUAUGUAAAGCCCUUUCGGCAGGGAAGAAGCAAGACGGUACCUGACUAAGAAGCCCCGGCUAACUACGGGCCAGCAGCCGCGGUAAUACGUAGGGGGCAAGCGUUAUCCGGAUUCACUGGGGGUAAAGGGAGCGUAGACGGGGACGCAAGUCUGGAGUGAAAGCCCGGGGCCCAACCCCGGGACUGCUCUGGAAACUGCGUCGCUGGAGUACGGGAGGGGCAGGCGGAAUUCCUGGUGUAGCGGUGAAAUGCGUAGAUAUCAGGAGGAACACCGGCGGCGAAGGCGGCCUGCUGGACCGUGACUGACGUUGAGGCUCGAGAGCGUGGGGAGCAAACAGGAUUAGAUACCCGUGUACU
rnacentral:rRNA from 1 species